UACCUGGUUGAUCCUGCCAGUAGUCAUAUGCUUGUCUCAAAGAUUAAGCCAUGCAUGUCUCAGUGCAAACUGAACUAAAGUGAAACCGCGAAUGGCUCAUUAAAUCAGUUAUGGUUCCUUGGAUCCUACUUAUCCUACAUGGAUAACUGUGGUAAUUCUAGAGCUAAUACAUGCAACUUGAGCCUGGCCCGGAAACGGGCGAGGCGCACUUAUUAGAUCAAAAUCAAUCGGUCGGUGCGCGCGGGUUCGUCCCGCCGCCCGGCCGUCGUUUUUGGUGACUCUGGAUAAACCACUGCUGAUCGCACGGCCUCCGCGCCGGCGACGUAUCUUUCGAAUGUCUGCCUUAUCAACUGUCGAUGGUAGGUUCUGCGCUUACCAUGGUCGUAACGGGUAACGGGGAAUCAGGGUUCGAUUCCGGAGAGGGAGCCUGAGAAACGGCUACCACAUCCAAGGAAGGCAGCAGGCGCGCAAAUUACCCACUCCCGGCACGGGGAGGUAGUGACGAAAAAUAACGAUACGGGACUCAUCCGAGGCCCCGUAAUCGGAAUGAGAACACUCUAAACCUUUUAACGAGUACCUAAUGGAGGGCAAGUCUGGUGCCAGCAGCCGCGGUAAUUCCAGCUCCAUUGGCGUAUAUUAAAGUUGUUGCGGUUAAAAAGCUCGUAGUUGGAUCUGUGUAUCGGACGGUCGGUUCGCCGCUCGCGGCGUUUUAACUGACCGGUCCGGACGUCCUGCCGGUGGGCGGCGGUCGGGGGUUCGGGGGUCGAGCGGUUCGCCGCUUCGGUCUCUGUUCCUCUCCGCCGCCCGUUAACCUUCCCUUCGGGCUGCUCUUAACCGAGUGGCCCGGUGGGCCGGCACGUUUACUUUGAACAAAUUUGAGUGCUCAAAGCAGGCCUUACGUCGCCUGAAAACUGUGUGCAUGGAAUAAUGGAAUAGGGCCUCUUUUCUAUUUUGUUGGCUUUUCUGAAACAGAGGUAAUGAUUAAUAGGGACAGACGGGGGCAUUCGUAUUGCGACGUUAGAGGUGAAAUUCUUGGAUCGUCGCAAGACGGACGGAUGCGAAAGCGUUUGCCAAGAAUGUUUUCGCUAAUCAAGAACGAAAGUUAGAGGUUCGAAGGCGAUCAGAUACCGCCCUAGUUCUAACCAUAAACGAUGCCAGCCAGCGAUGCGCCGACGUUCCUCCGAUGACUCGGCGCGCAGCUUCCGGGAAACCAAAAGCUUUUGGGUUCCGGGGGAAGUAUGGUUGCAAAGCUGAAACUUAAAGGAAUUGACGGAAGGGCACCACCAGGAGUGGAGCCUGCGGCUUAAUUUGACUCAACACGGGAAACCUCACCAGGCCCGGACAUCGGGAGGAUUGACAGAUUGAGAGCUCUUUCUUGAUUCGAUGGGUGGUGGUGCAUGGCCGUUCUUAGUUGGUGGAGCGAUUUGUCUGGUUAAUUCCGAUAACGAACGAGACUCUGACCUGCUAAAUAGGCGCCGGAAUCUUUUAACUGCUGCCGGCGUCCUAAAUCUUCUUAGAGGGACAGGCGGCUUCUAGCCGCACGAGAUUGAGCAAUAACAGGUCUGUGAUGCCCUUAGAUGUUCUGGGCCGCACGCGCGCUACACUGAAGGAAUCAGCGUGUGCUCCCUGGCCGAGAGGCCCGGGUAACCCGCUGAACCUCCUUCGUGCUUGGGAUCGGCCUUUGUAAUUAUCGGCCGUGAACGAGGAAUUCCCAGUAAGCGCGAGUCAUAAGCUCGCGUUGAUUACGUCCCUGCCCUUUGUACACACCGCCCGUCGCUACUACCGAUUGAACGAUUUAGUGAGGUCUUCGGACCGGGCGCGUAGCUCCCGCAAGGGCGCGACGCCGCUCGGAAAGAUGACCGAAC
rnacentral:rRNA from 1 species